GCUGGAGGUAUCAGAAGUGCGAAUGCUGACAUAAGUAACGAUAAAGCGGGUGAAAAGCCCGCUCGCCGGAAGACCAAGGGUUCCUGUCCAACGUUAAUCGGGGCAGGGUGAGUCGACCCCUAAGGCGAGGCCGAAAGGCGUAGUCGAUGGGAAACGGGUUAAUAUUCCCGUACUUGGUGUUACUGCGAAGGGGGGACGGAGAAGGCUAUGUUGGCCGGGCGACGGUUGUCCCGGUUUAAGCGUGUAGGUGUGUGUUCCAGGUAAAUCCGGUUCACUUUAACACUGAGGCGUGACGACGAGGCACUACGGUGCUGAAGCAACAAAUGCCCUGCUUCCAGGAAAAGCCUCUAAGCAUCAGGUAACAUCAAAUCGUACCCCAAACCGACACAGGUGGUCAGGUAGAGAAUACCAAGGCGCUUGAGAGAACUCGGGUGAAGGAACUAGGCAAAAUGGUGCCGUAACUUCGGGAGAAGGCACGCUGACACGUAGGUGAAGUGAUUUACUCAUGGAGCUGAAGUCAGUCGAAGAUACCAGCUGGCUGCAACUGUUUAUUAAAAACACAGCACUGUGCAAACACGAAAGUGGACGUAUACGGUGUGACGCCUGCCCGGUGCCGGAAGGUUAAUUGAUGGGGUCAGCGCAAGCGAAGCUCCUGAUCGAAGCCCCGGUAAACGGCGGCCGUAACUAUAACGGUCCUAAGGUAGCGAAAUUCCUUGUCGGGUAAGUUCCGACCUGCACGAAUGGCGUAAUGAUGGCCAGGCUGUCUCCACCCGAGACUCAGUGAAAUUGAACUCGCUGUGAAGAUGCAGUGUACCCGCGGCAAGACGGAAAGACCCCGUGAACCUUUACUAUAGCUUGACACUGAACAUUGAGCCUUGAUGUGUAGGAUAGGUGGGAGGCUUUGAAGCGUGGACGCCAGUCUGCGUGGAGCCG
rnacentral:rRNA from 1 species